rnacentral:lncRNA from 1 species
AUCGUGUCCUAUCUCAGAAAGCGAUCAAAGCUUAGGAAACGGCUAAGCAACUACAAUGAAAGGUCUCAAAAGGUAGCCAUGCUUGGAAUAAGGUUACUGAAAGCAGUAAAGGUACCAUUCUCCUAUGCUCAAAGCUGCGGAACCAACAAUGGAGAAGGAUUGAGUGAAGAGGAUAAAUUGAGGAACGGUGAGAUGAGGGAUUACCUUCACAAUUGGAGCUUGAUUCAAUGAUCGGAGAGGAGAGAAUGGAGUUAGAUUUAUCAAAAACCAAUGGAACGGUGUUGUUGCAGGAAACAACAAUUAACCCUAUAUUGGGUUCAUAGUGUAUGAAAGAAGUGUGAAUGAAAAAAUGGAGAGUAAAAUGGUGGAGGUAAGGAGACACUAAAAUGGAAAGUGCACUCCCAAAUUAGAAAGUUUAUUCUUUCUCCCAUAUUGGUGGAAGAAGAGAACUUGAAAGUGUUUAUAAUCAAGAACACUUACUCCAUAUGAUAAGUGAGGCAAGAAAUAAGAGAUGCCUCGCACCGUCGUCAUUGCUCGCUCGGUUCGGCUUUGGAUUUGGAUCGAUGAGACCUAUCUUUUUGGAUAAACUUUAUUUGACGAAAUCUAAUCAAUGACAAAAAUGCAGGAAAUUUUUCUGUGUUUAAUACUCCAUUUAUAU